UACGUAGGGGGCUAGCGUUGUCCGGAAUCAUUGGGCGUAAAGCGCGCGUAGGCGGCCCGGUAAGUCCACUGUGAAAGUCAAAGGCUCAACCUUUGAAUGUCAGUGGAUACUGCCGGGCUAGAGUCCGGAAGAGGCGAGUGGAAUUCCUGGUGUAGCGGUGGAAUGCGCAGAUAUCAGGAGGAACACCAACGGCGAAGGCAGCUCGCUGGGACGGUACUGACGCUGAGGAGCGAAAGCAUGGGGAGCGAACAGG
rnacentral:rRNA from 1 species